AUGUGCGAUCAUACCAGCACUAUAGCUCCAGAUCCCAUCAGAACUCUACAGUUAAGAAUGCUUGGGCGAGAAUAGUACUAGGAUGUGUGACUUCCUGGGAAGUCCUCGUGUUGCACCUC